CUGGUUGAUCCUGCCAGUAGUGAUAUGCUUGUUUCAAAGAUUAAGCCAUGCAUGUCUAAGUAUGAGCGAACUUAUACAGUGAAACUGCGGAUGGCUCAUUAAAACAGUUUGAAUUUAUUUGAUGAAUGUAUGAGAAUACUACUUGGAUAACCGUAGUAAUUCUAGAGCUAAUACAUGCAACGACGCCCGACCGUUUCACUAUGGAAGGGCUGUAUUUAUUGGAUACCAAAACCAUCCUUCCCUCGGGAAGUUUUGUUUGAUGAUUCACAAUAACUGAUCGGAUCGCCACUGUGGUGGCGACAGGUCAUUCAACAUUCUGCCCUAUCAGCUUUCGAUGGUUGUGUAGUGGACAACCAUGGCCAUAACGGGUAACGGAGAAUCAGGGUUCGAUUCCGGAGAAGGAGCUUGAGAAUUGGCUACUACAUCUAAGGAAGGCAGCAGGCGCGCAAAUUACCCAAUCCCGAUUCGGGGAGGUAGUGACAAAAAAUAACAAUACCGGGCCUUUUUGGGCUUGGUAAUUGGAAUGAGGGAGAGUUAGACGGACCAUCGAGUAUCCAUUGGAGGGCAAGUCUGGUGCCAGCAGCUGCGGUAAUACCAGCUCCAAUAGCGUAUAUUAAAGUUGUUGCAGUUAAAAAGCUCGUAGUUGGACUUGUGUGCGCUGUCCGCGGGUGGCCUGCGCCCAAAAGGGCGUUUCGGUUCGGCCCCGGUGGCGCCUUGAAAUCUGCAGCUGGGGGGACGUUGGCCUUAACUGGUCGGCGACCGCACGCCGGCUGCUCGGUUACUGUGAGAAAAUUAGAGUGUUCAAGGCAGGCAUUGGGUGCAAUUGAAUACAUUAGCAUGGAAUAAUAAAAUAUGGCUCCUGCCGUAUUUUGUUGGUUUUGACUGGUGGGAGUAAUGAUUGAUAGGGACGGUUGGGGGUGCUAGUAUUGAGCGGCCAGAGGUGAAAUUCAUGGAUUCGCUCAAGACUAACUUAUGCGAAAGCAUUCACCAGGGACGUCCUCUUUAAUCAAGAACGAAAGUUGGGGGAUCGAAGACGAUCAGAUACCGUCGUAGUCUCAACCAUAAACUAUGUCGACUUGGGAUCGGCGGUAGUUUUUUCAUUAAGACACUGUCGGGACCACGGGAGAAAUCAAAGUGUCUGGACUCUGGGGGAAGUAUGGUCGCAAGGCUGAAACUUGAAGGAAUUGACGGAAGGGCACCACCAGGAGUGGAGCCUGCGGCUUAAUUUGACCCAACACGGGGAAACUUACCAGGUCCAGAGAUGUAGAGGAUUGACAGAUUGAAGCUCUUUCUUGAUCACUUCGGUGGUGGUGCAUGGCCGUUCUUAGUUGGUGGAGUGAU
rnacentral:rRNA from 1 species